UCGGCCUCCUGAAGUGUUGGGAUUACAGGUGGGAGCCACGACACUCUGCUGGUAUUUUAUCUUUAAAUAUCAGCCAGCCUCCGGGAUGGUCCCCAAUGCUUCUCUCCUUUUCACGUUCAUGUCCUUAUGUCAUUUCCUCCCCCUCCCCUAACCUGUGUAAACAAUAGGACAUCAUGGGAUUGACAGGGUGUGACUUCCAGUGCUGGAUCAUAAAAAGCACUGUGGCUUCUGUGUUGUUCUUUUUGAUCACUUGCUUCUGGGGACAUUAGGGCAUUCAAGCAGCCCUGAGGAGAGAUCCACAUGGUGAGCCACUGAGGGCCUUGCCAAGAGCCAGCACCAACAUGGCAGGUUUAGAGUGUACCACCUUGGAAGUGAAUCUUCCGUCCAGUCAAGCCUUCAGAUGACUUCAGAACCAUCCAUGUAAACCUCUCUUGGAUUUCUGACCCACAGAAACUGUUAGAGCAUUAUCACAGUUUCUAACAUCACAGACGGACAAACAUGUGCCUCCUGAUUGAAAAAACAGAACAUCACCUGUAGUCUUGCCAGGGAGAUCAAACUGAAGUCCAAUUAACCUCUGGAUCCAGCUGUCAAUUUGCAGGAAAUAGAGGACAGAAGCAUCUGUUGAACUGCACCAUGAGGAUACACUCAGCAAAGGCCAAACUAUGGAAAACGAUACAGGUCGAACAGCCUGGAUUCUUUAACAGACGGAGUCUCAUUCUGUCACCCAGCCUGAAGCGCAAUGG